UGGAGUGCCUGGUGGCAAAGAUGGGGGGGGGCUGUGCGCCCCAACAGGCCCACUAAAUCCUGGGUGUCUAUCCCUAAAAAUCGAGGUCCCAUGUCAUGUUUCCGGGGUGCCCUGUGCUUGUGCAACAUGGGCGCGUGGUGCGAACCAACGUGCGUGGCACCCUAGGCCUCAGUGGUAGUGGCAGGACCUGUGCUCAGUUAGAGGGUUACAAGGUAGGCGCAUCCCGGCCGACUGAGUUAAGGCGCAGGUAGCUGGGUAGAGGGUUCUCACAGGGACCUACUUGCUAAGCAGGGGACAGUCCCCUGGAUCGGCUGGGGGGGGGGGGGGGGGAGCGCGCAGCCUCCACCUGCCUGAGCAGGCAGGGCGGGCUGUGAGGCACCUCGAAUAGCAGCCAGAUAGAUCUUACUAAGCGCCCCUAACCUCUGCUUUGCCUGGGAUCUCCUAGCAGCCUUUGGGGGGCCACCAGGUGCACCAUGAAGGGAAGGCUGGCUUGGCCACGCCAAAUCUGGGCCCCGCGUGGAGCCCCCGCACAAUGUCUGCGCCCUUCAGCAGAAAAAGAAGCAGGGCGGGAAACGUAGCUCAAACCAGACCUGUAAACCAGAGCUCACUGAAGUGCUUCUAAGCGGCGCGCCUUUGGGACCCCACCCAGUAUGAGCAGAUAACAGUUCCCUGUCCUCAGCACUUUGAAUUUGCUUAGUUGCAGGUUCGGCCCCAGGGGCCAAUGCGAUAAUUCCGGGCUAUUAAGAAACUCUCCCCGGGUGGUUUCAGAUAUAAGAAGCCAUUGUGAUUUUUACCAAGUCAAAAUCACUUCUAAACCGGUGCACCUUGUUUCCCUCUCCCGACCUCCGCACCUCUAGGCCUCUAAAGGGCCACUACUGGCGGAAACCAGUGCACCCGGGGCUAACCUCCCGGCCCGACCAUCAAUCACCGCGCCCGCGCUCUACACUCGCUUCCCCAAGCCCUCGACCUGUAGGGUUGGAGGCUCCAAGCCGCCCGAGCGCUCUGCCCUUCCCGCUUCCUGGCCGCCCAGGCGCUUUCCCUACCACCGCGUUGUUUGCAGAGUGCACACAAAGUGGCGCGCGUUUCGGAGCGCCCAGCCCAAAGGAGCGCUGCCGCCGAGGGAGAAGCCAGCAGCCCGCUCCCGCGCUACUCCGCAGCAGCCCUGAGGACAAACUGCGAGGUAGCCGGUGCCCCGCAGUGGAAGAGCUGGGGCACGAGGGAGCGCGCCACGGGGAGCUCACCACAAGGCCGAAGGUCGGGUCCGCUGGCGCAGGAGGAUCGGAGGAGAAGGGCGGGAGAGCGGAUGAAGUGGGAGCUGCUGAAGUGGACGCUGCUGAAGAGGUCUCUGGAGAAGCCGCUGACUCACACCCCGGAGAUGAACUCCUGGACUUUGCCAGGGUCCCCAGCAUGCUCUUCCUCAUGCCUGUGCUGGAUGCCUGCCACAGAGGACACACUCAACUGGGCUGCGGUCUUGGACACCACAUAGGGACUCCACACCAGGAAGACCCAAGCAAUGCUCUAUGCCAAUCUGCAAGCCUGGGAAGAAGUCACUACCUGAACCACCAACAUGAGGAUUGCACCAAACUGAUCAACACAACCCACACCAAAAAUUCUUUCCUCAUCUGGAACCCUGCCUUUCCCUCUGGAGCUGUCUGACCUCCCCCCUUCCCCAGCAUUUGCUACCUUUGCCCCUGGACUCCUGGAAGCAUUACAGAGACUGCUGCCUCGUGUCUGCUUGGCUUACACCCCUUGUUCCCAAGAAGUGACACCUGGAGCGCACCUGAAUCCCAGAUACUGUGACUGACUAGACUUCCUAGCCUUGGCUGGUUCCUUGGCUGAGUCUUGCAUUUGCAGGAGCUCUGAUGCUCCUGUGCUAGAGAUACCUCUGUUCUGCUGUAUACCUGAAGGACACUCACCUCUGAGGAAAGACUGGGGCUGGUGGGAGGUUUCUGAGGUUUCAUUCAGUUCUGGGAGCGUGGGGAUCUCCUGGGCCACAGGCCACAGCACUUGGGCACGGGGCUGGAGUCUCGGGAUGCUCUAGCCUGUUUCUUCUCAGGUUCCGGCUCAGGCUUCAGCUCGGGCUCAGGCUCAGGCUCAGGCUUCAGCUCAGGCCUCGGUGGCAGAGGCCUCGGCUCGGGCCUUGGUGGCAGAGGCCUCGACUCGGGCCUUGGUGGCAGAGGCCUCAGCUCGGGCCUUGGUGGCAGAGGCCUCAGCUCGGGCCUCGGUGGCACGGGCCUCGGCUCAGGCCUCAGUAGCAGAGGUCUCAGCUCAGGCCUUGGUGGCACGGGCCUCGGCUCAGACCUCAGUAGCAGAGGUCUCAGCUCAGGCCUCGGUGGCAGAGGCCUCGGCUCAGGCCUAGGUGGUACAGGCCUCGGCUCAGGCCUAGGUGGUACAGGCCUUGGCUCAGGCCUAGGUGGCACAGGCCUCGGCUCAGGCUUUGGUGGCUCAGGCCUCGGCUCAGGCUUUGGUGGCUCAGGCCUCGGCUCAGGCUUUGGUGGCUCAGGCCUCGGCUCAGGCUUAGGUGGCUCAGGCCUGGGCUCAGGCUUAGGUGGCUCAGGCCUCGGCUCAGGCCUUGGUGGCACAGGCCUGGACUUAGGCUUCUGCAGCUCUGGCUGGACGAGAAGUUUAGCCUUAGGAGACUCAGAACCCUGGGUUAGGGGCCUGCAGUCGUCGUAGUCGUUCUCCUCUUCCUCCUCCUCCUCUUGCACAGUGAGCUCUGUUUUAAUUACUCGUCCCCUGAGGAGGAGAAGCAAAAAUCCUUGAGAUUAUCUCAAAAACAAAUCUUCUCCAGCUGAGUCUGGCCCCCUCCCCCCACCUUGCUGCUGGAUGGGGAAGCCCAAGGGUCACCUUGUCAUGGUUGGAGCACUCCCCCCUACCCUGUCCCUUCAGCUGCCUACUCUCCCCACCCCCUUCUCAGUAGAAGGGAGGAAGCAGUUGGUGAGAAGUCACUUUGCCAAGUUUGACAACUGUUCAGGGAGAGGCAGGAGACCCUCCUUUGGGAAGGACAAUCUGGCUCCUGCCUGGCUGGGGGCGGGGGUGGUGGUGGUGUAAAACUGCUGCUGCACACAAAAGGCUUUCUUUGAGGGGUCACAGCUAAAAAUGUGAAUGUCUCCCAUUCCUCUCCUCACACUUCUACCUUGGAUGGGAACAAAAAACAAAGGGCACAUGGAUCUGCCUUAGGAAGGCAACUUCUGGAAGGGGUGGCAGGGCUUCUCCCCAUAAACAUUAUACCGGUGGAUUAAGGAGUCUGGGAUCCCAGUUGCAGGGAAAAAAAGCUUUGUGCACAAAUGAAUGUGCAACUGGGAGUGCUGUGGCUGCUGCUCCAAAUUCCUGCCUGUGCACAGGGAACACGGAAAUAAUAAUACACACCCCCACACUGCUCUAGAAUCUCUGGCCCCUCUGCACAGUUUAGCCGGGAGUGGGGUGGGGGUGGGGGGGAGGAGCGGGGGGAGCAUACACCAGGGGGAAAAUGUUCACACAGAAAAAUUUCACAUUUGCAAAAACAGCUGUGUACUCCUGCUGGGAAGAGAAAGAGCGCUGCCUCUCCCCUUUGCAUGGUAGAUUAGAGAACGAAACCAUACUUUCCUUGUAGCUUUGUGCAGCCCUUUAAGUCCCAGUCCCAGUUGUCCUUUUGUCCCCUCAGAAGUUGAAGUCACUCUUAAGACCGUCCGGUUUAGCGGCAACCUUCCCCCUCUUCAGAGACUAACUGAAGGACCCUAACUCUCCCAAGUCCCCAGCCACCUACCCACACCAGAAUAUUUAAACUGCACCUUCACUCAUACACAAAAGGCAUGAACAAGGGGAAAUCAAUUAGUUACCUGUACUCUAGUCGCUUCGUAGUUCCUGAAGUUCCCGGACGGUGGAUAAAGAGGACCGGGGAGUCACUGGUGCCCAAGAUUCUCUUCCGAAAUUGCCCGGACGAUGAUCCGCUGGCUGGGUCAAUAUUAGCAGCCCCCUCCAAAGCAGGGGGUGCUCUGGUUGUGGUGCCCGGGCCCUCCAGCCGGGGCGACGAUGUUGCGGCGGGGCUGGAAGGGGCUGAGUCUGAGUCUGAAGAGACGGUGAGAGGGAGUUUUAGAGCGUGCAUGAUAACAGAGCCCCUAGAAGUGGCUUCUGCUCUCCACCACUGAGUAAGGCACCUGCUCGAAUGACACCACGCUUUUAUCCCUCACCUCGUCCCCUCCACGCCCACUUCCAGCCCCCUCCAAAUUUGGGAAAUGAUAUGCCAGUAAAGUACUGCAAAGACUUAUGGGGCAGCUGGCUAUGGCGCUUUCCCACACUAGGGUAUGGGGGCAUUAGAGGGUGGGGCUUUGGCCCCUGCCUGACAGACAGGAAGGCGUCUAUGCAGGUUUGAAUUAAGCUAGAAGCACUUCCUGUUAGCUAGGGGGUAGGGACUAUGUGCAGGGGUGGAGAGUGGGUGGGGCUUCACUGGAUUGACACCUGGCAGUCACCUGACACCCUGGAAUGUCUGUGGGCGUGGCACAGGUAAAAAGGGGCGUGGCUUAUGCAAAUUAGGGUCCGGAUUUAAAAUAAAUAUUAAAAUUACUUUCUAAGGUC
ensembl:antisense Igf2os insulin-like growth factor 2, opposite strand